CUUUGGUUGUCUGUUUCCUCAUUGUAGCAUUUGCUGUCUUAACAGGACUUUUGGUGUGGAAGAAAAAGAAAGGAUAUCCCCAAGACACCUGGAUCGACUUUUUGAGAAAGUAUUUUGGUGGAAUGUUUGGGGAUGCAGGCAACAAUCAGAAUUCUGUUGCCCCGGAUACUGUUUAUCACACUGUAGGGGAUGUUCAGGUCACCAACCUUGGAGCUUCAGGGGUUCUCUCUGGGGUUUCCAUGGAUACAGUUUACAGCGCUGUAGGAGAGAAGUCUUCCAGAGAUUACUCCAUGAAUCAGAAUAAUAACAAUCCCACUAACACAGGUAGUAACACUAACACACCUUUUACAUGGUACUUCUAUGGGGKCAUUUUGACAAUGCAGAUAUGUGGAGAUGUUGCCAGAAAUGUGUUUCUCAUAUUAUUUGUGGUGGCAUUUAUUUGAAGAACAUGUUUUAGUGACGUCUACAUACAGUAUGAGAAGGUGAUUACUAAUGUGAGUUUAAAGUUAGUGUGUGGGCUGGCAAAUAUAAAAUGUGUAUUAUGCAGUUGGAAUCUGCUUUAAAUUUAUUUUACCUUUAUUUAACUAGGC